rnacentral:rRNA from 1 species
AUGAACGCUAGCUACAGGCUUAACACAUGCAAGUCGAGGGGCAGCAUGGUCUUAGCUUGCUAAGGCCGAUGGCGACCGGCGCACGGGUGAGUAACACGUAUCCAACCUGCCGUCUACUCUUGGACAGCCUUCUGAAAGGAAGAUUAAUACAAGAUGGCAUCAUGAGUCCGCAUGUUCACAUGAUUAAAGGUAUUCCGGUAGACGAUGGGGAUGCGUUCCAUUAGAUAGUAGGCGGGGUAACGGCCCACCUAGUCUUCGAUGGAUAGGGGUUCUGAGAGGAAGGUCCCCCACAUUGGAACUGAGACACGGUCCAAACUCCUACGGGAGGCAGCAGUGAGGAAUAUUGGUCAAUGGGCGAGAGCCUGAACCAGCCAAGUAGCGUGAAGGAUGACUGCCCUAUGGGUUGUAAACUUCUUUUAUAAAGGAAUAAAGUCGGGUAUGGAUACCCGUUUGCAUGUACUUUAUGAAUAAGGAUCGGCUAACUCCGUGCCAGCAGCCGCGGUAAUACGGAGGAUCCGAGCGUUAUCCGGAUUUAUUGGGUUUAAAGGGAGCGUAGAUGGAUGUUUAAGUCAGUUGUGAAAGUUUGCGGCUCAACCGUAAAAUUGCAGUUGAUACUGGAUAUCUUGAGUGCAGUUGAGGCAGGCGGAAUUCGUGGUGUAGCGGUGAAAUGCUUAGAUAUCACGAAGAACUCCGAUUGCGAAGGCAGCCUGCUAAGCUGCAACUGACAUUGAGGCUCGAAAGUGUGGGUAUCAAACAGGAUUAGAUACCCUGGUAGUCCACACGGUAAACGAUGAAUACUCGCUGUUUGCGAUAUACUGCAAGCGGCCAAGCGAAAGCGUUAAGUAUUCCACCUGGGGAGUACGCCGGCAACGGUGAAACUCAAAGGAAUUGACGGGGGCCCGCACAAGCGGAGGAACAUGUGGUUUAAUUCGAUGAUACGCGAGGAACCUUACCCGGGCUUAAAUUGCAGAUGAAUUACGGUGAAAGCCGUAAGCCGCAAGGCAUCUGUGAAGGUGCUGCAUGGUUGUCGUCAGCUCGUGUCGUGAGAUGUUGGGUUAAGUCCCGCAACGAGCGCAACCCUUAUCUUUAGUAGCCAGCGGUCCGGCCGGGCACUCUAGAGAGACUGCCAGGGAUAACCUGGAGGAAGGUGGGGAUGACGUCAAAUCAGCACGGCCCUUACGUCCGGGGCUACACACGUGUUACAAUGGGGGGUACAGAGGGCCGCUACCACGCGAGUGGAUGCCAAUCCCCAAAACCUCUCUCAGUUCGGACUGGAGUCUGCAACCCGACUCCACGAAGCUGGAUUCGCUAGUAAUCGCGCAUCAGCCACGGCGCGGUGAAUACGUUCCCGGGCCUUGUACACACCGCCCGUCAAGCCAUGGGAGCCGGGGGUACCUGAAGUGCGUAACCGCGAGGAGCGCCCUAGGGUAAAACUGGUGACUGGGGCU